GCCAGGCAUGGUGGCGCAUGCCUGUAAUCCCAGUUACUUGGGAGGCUGAGGCAGGAGAAUCACUUGAAUCCAGGAGAUGGAGGUUGCAGUGAGCCGAGAUCACACCAUUGCACUUCAGCCUGGGCAACAGGGUGAGACUCUGCCUUUA
ensembl:misc_RNA Metazoa_SRP Metazoan signal recognition particle RNA